rnacentral:rRNA from 1 species
GAUGAACGCUGACAGAAUGCUUAACACAUGCAAGUCAACUUGAAUUUGGGUUUUUAACUUAGAUUUGGGUGGCGGACGGGUGAGUAACGCGUAAAGAACUUGCCUCACAGCUAGGGACAACAUUUAGAAAUGAAUGCUAAUACCUGAUAUUAUGAUUUUAAGGCAUCUUAGAAUUAUGAAAGCUAUAAGCACUGUGAGAGAGCUUUGCGUCCCAUUAGCUAGUUGGAGAGGUAACAGCUCACCAAGGCGAUGAUGGGUAGCCGGCCUGAGAGGGUGAACGGCCACAAGGGGACUGAGACACGGCCCUUACUCCUACGGGAGGCAGCAGUGGGGAAUAUUGGACAAUGGACCAAGAGUCUGAUCCAGCAAUUCUGUGUGCACGAUGAAGUUUUUCGGAAUGUAAAGUGCUUUCAGUUGGGAAGAAAGAAAUGACGGUACCAACAGAAGAAGUGACGGCUAAAUACGUGCCAGCAGCCGCGGUAAUACGUAUGUCACGAGCGUUAUCCGGAUUUAUUGGGCGUAAAGCGCGUCUAGGUGGUUAUGUAAGUCUGAUGUGAAAAUGCAGGGCUCAACUCUGUAUUGCGUUGGAAACUGUAUAACUAGAGUACUGGAGAGGUAAGCGGAACUACAAGUGUAGAGGUGAAAUUCGUAGAUAUUUGUAGGAAUGCCGAUGGGGAAGCCAGCUUACUGGACAGAUACUGACGCUAAAGCGCGAAAGCGUGGGUAGCAAACAGG